rnacentral:rRNA from 1 species
UACGUAGGGUGCGAGCGUUAAUCGGAAUUACUGGGCGUAAAGCGUGCGCAGGCGGUCUGUUAAGACCGAUGUGAAAUCCCCGGGCUUAACCUGGGAACUGCAUUUGUGACUGCAUCGCUGGAGUGCGGCAGAGGGGGAUGGAAUUCCGCGUGUAGCAGUGAAAUGCGUAGAUAUGCGGAGGAACACCGAUGGCGAAGGCAAUCCCUGGGCCUGCACUGACGCUCAUGCACGAAAGCGUGGG